AGCCUCUGGGUGCAGAACCCUCGAGCCGCCUGCGCCUCCACGGUCUGUCUGCCCCGCUCCUGCGACUCCGCUUUGUCGCCUCUGCUGUUCCUCCGGUGCUCUUCCCCACCGCGGCCCCUGCCUUCCCGCGCUGCUGGCCCGAGGCCGCCCCCUCCGCAGGCCUCCUCUCCUCCUGGAGUCCCAGAGUCACCGCAGGGAGUGAGUCCCCGGCCGAGGUGCAAUCGAAGUGUCCGAGGCGCGGCUUACCUCUUGGCCUUCUCUUCCAGGUCGGUGGACUCAAGCUCGAUUGUUUUUUUUCUCCCCACCCCGACUGCCGUGCUGUCUGCGGUUAGAAGCGCUAGGCUGCUGGGGUAGCGGGACCCACACUGCCUGAGAACGGAAAGAACGUGUCCGGUCGCUCUGCGAUCCCUCCUGGAACUGAUCAGAAGCCGCUUGCAGAGGGGCCCACUGGGCGGGGCGGGGGUUGAGCCCCAGGCUGGAGCAGGGACAGUCUCGGUUCGCGGCCUGUAACCGGGUUCUCAUCCCCCGCGCCUCGCGAGGCCGCGGUGCCUCCGCUCCGCAGCGCACCGCUUCGGGCACCUCCAGACCAGGUCUUUAUAUAUAUACAUAAAAGAUUGGUGAGGCUUUUGAAGAUAUUUUUUUAAAAUACUUUUUAAGGAAAAGGAGAGAAUAAAACAUUCAUCGGAGGAAAAAAAAACAGCGAAGUGUUAUGGCCUUGGAGUUUGCUAAAAAUCAAACAACAAAAUCAAAAGUUUUAGUUUUCUUCAUCGUCCCUGAUGGGAGAUUUGUGUAAGAAUUCCUGAGGUGACUUCAUUGGGCUGUAUUCAGAGGCGGGAGGAAAUAACUAGCUAAAAGAAGGUUUCCACGACAAAUUGGGAGUUUUCCUCUCUAUUUAAAAAUUAAAUUCAAAACAAAUUUCCCCGGAUCUUCCGAUUCUAGCCCCGGAUGCCAGGAGAGAUCACUGCCCGGCUGGCACAUACCGCCCGGAUGACACUACCAUCCCUGAUUUUUGUUUUUCCAAUGUCUGGCUUCUUCCACCUUCGGAAGGAGAAAUGUGAAACUCGCCACGGCCGCCGGCCCACACGGGCUUGUGGCCCUAGCCCGCUGGCCCGAAAUCCGUGACCUGGUGGUUGAGUAAUGUCUUUCGGGGACCAAAUUUUAUAGAGAGAACUAGAGCACUUUUGUUGUGUUUGUAUGUGUGUGCGGGCGUCCCUUGUCAAUUCCCAAAUAAAUUUUUUUUGUUUUUUUUUUCUUUUAACACGGACUUACAUUGUUUCUUUUACGCCUUAGUUCAGCAGCUAGCCAGCUAGCUAGCUAAAAGAUCGUGCCUUUCAAGCAAAAUUGUGUUCUUUAAAAAAAGUGACACAAACAAGAGUUGAGGACAACCCGGGUGGCAGGCGCUUUGGGCUGUCGCUACUGCUUUGUUUUUCUGGAGAUUGUUUGUUUUUCUGUGUCAUCGCUCGUCUGUUGCGGCUGUUUAACACCGGCAAAGAUACCCGGCCCUCGCUAGAGGCUACUGUAGACAAGGUUUGUUCUAUUUUUGCGUUCGUGUAAGUUUAUAUUUUGCCUCUUACAUAAUUGUACUAGGUGUGUACGCUGUGUUUUCAUGACAAUCCUCAUAUUUCUAAGAAUUAUUUUUUGUC
rnacentral:lncRNA from 1 species